UGCCCUACGGGAGGCAGCAGUAGGGAAUCUUCGGCAAUGGGCGAAAGCCUGACCGAGCAACGCCGCGUGAAUGAAGAAGGCCUUCGGGUUGUAAAAUUCUGUUAUAAGGGAAGAAAGGUGAUAGGAGGAAAUGACUAUCAAUUGACGGUACCUUAUGAGAAAGCCACGGCUAACUAUGUGCCAGCAGCCGCGGUAAUACGUAGGGGGCGAGCGUUGUCCGGAAUGACUGGGCGUAAAGGGUGCGUAGGCGGCAUAAUAAGUUAGAAGUGAAAUACCCAGAGCUUAACUCGGGUGCUGCUUCUAAG
rnacentral:rRNA from 1 species